GACGAACGCUGGCGGCGUGCCUCAAACAUGCAAGUCGAACGGGGGGAACCCAACCCGCAAGGGGAGGGCGAACCUAGUGGCGAACGGGUGAGUAAUACGUGGGCAACCUGCCCAAGAGACUGGGAUAACGGCUCGAAAGGGCCGCUAAUACCGGAUAAUGUCGCAUAACCGCAUGGUAGUGCGAAGAAAGGGGAAACCCGCUUUUGGAUGGGCUCGCGUCCCAUCAGCUAGUUGGUAGGGUAAAGGCCUACCAAGGCGACGACGGGUAGCCGGUCUGAGAGGAUGAACGGCCACACUGGGACUGAGAUACGGCCCAGACUCCUACGGGAGGCAGCAGUUGGGAAUAUUGGGCAAUGGGCGAAAGCCUGACCCAGCGACGCCGCGUGAGGGAAGAAGGCCUUCGGUCGUAAACCUCUGUCAUUGGGGACGAAGGAAGUGACGGUACCCAAGGAGGAAGCCCUCGCUAACUACGUG
rnacentral:rRNA from 1 species